UACGUAGGGUGCGAGCGUUGUCCGGAAUUAUUGGGCGUAAAGAGCUUGUAGGCGGUUUGUCGCGUCUGAUGUGAAAUCCCGAGGCUCAACCUCGGGCCUGCAUUCGAUACGGGCUAGCUAGAGUACUGCAGGGGAGACUGGAAUUCCUGGUGUAGCGGUGAAAUGCGCAGAUAUCAGGAGGAACACCGGUGGCGAAGGCGGGUCUCUGGGCAGUAACUGACGCUGAGGAGCGAAAGCGUGGGGAGCAAACAGG
rnacentral:rRNA from 1 species